rnacentral:rRNA from 1 species
GAUGAACGCUGGCGGCGUGCCUAAUACAUGCAAGUCGAGCGAACAGACGAGGAGCUUGCUCCUCUGACGUUAGCGGCGGACGGGUGAGUAACACGUGGAUAACCUGCCUAUAAGACUGGGAUAACUUCGGGAAACCGGAGCUAAUACCGGAUAAUAUAUUGAACCGCAUGGUUCAAUAGUGAAAGACGGUUUUGCUGUCACUUAUAGAUGGAUCCGCGCCGCAUUAGCUAGUUGGUAAGGUAACGGCUUACCAAGGCAACGAUGCGUAGCCGGCCUGAGAGGGUGAUCGGCCACACUGGAACUGAGACACGGUCCAGACUCCUACGGGAGGCAGCAGUAGGGAAUCUUCCGCAAUGGGCGAAAGCCUGACGGAGCAACGCCGCGUGAGUGAUGAAGGUCUUCGGAUCGUAAAACUCUGUUAUUAGGGAAGAACAAAUGUGUAAGUAACUAUGCACGUCUUGACGGUACCUAAUCAGAAAGCCACGGCUAACUACGUG